ensembl:lncRNA
AUGGUUUUUAGUGGAUUAGAAAAAAAUCUGUACUGUGUUUCCAGAUUGGGUCAUGAAAUGACAGUGUUUGAAACCAGUGCAGGUAAAGCUGUUGAAGGUGAUGUAAGAAACAGUGUUAACACCCCUUUCCUUUUUCACCCACCACCAAACUUGUGCCUUUGUCUGAACAAAUCCAUGCUUUUUGUUUGUUUUGUUAAAACACCCCAUUUUAUACUUUCAUUUCAUUUGCUGUUUGACAAUUAUGCACUUUAUGAUGACAGUUGCUUUUGAAAAUAGUAUUUGUUUCCAGUGCAGGUAUAGACGAGUCUGUAGUUACUUUUGAAACACUAUGUUUCAAUGCUGAACUGUUCUGAUCUUUUUAUUAUAAUUUUUUUUUAUUAUUAUGGUUAUAUUUCCCUGAUGUGCUUGCUUGCUGUAUGUGUGAUUGUACAUGGCUGUGUGAAAGUAUAUGAGAGAUGAAGUUUUAUUUAUGUGGCUAUUUAUUUGAAUAAAAAAAUCAACUCUUGAAAUUAAUUUCUGUGUUUAGAUGUGUUUUUCCUCAUAUUCUUUUUUUUUUUGGGGGGGGGGGUGUCCAUUUGUUUUAAUGGAAUGUCACUUUUCUAUUAAAGGCAGCAAUUUAAAACAUCAUAUAGUUACUUAAAAGUAACAAUCAGUGUUAUUGAAUAACUGAUAUGAAGCAUGUUUCCUCAAAACAAAAUGCCUGUUUUUUCAUUGAAGACAUUCAUCAUGUUAAAAAAUUAUCAGGAUUAUCUAAAUGCAUGAUUAUUUAACUACAAAGUUACAUGUACAAAAUGCUAUAUACAUAUACCUAAAUCAUGCAAUGCAAUGUCAUGCAAAAAAAAAAAAGAUAUAUAAUAUAAUAUAAUAUAAUAUAAUAUAAUAUAAUAUAAUAUAAUAAUAACAUAUCAUAAAUAAUAAUAACAUAUCAUAAAUAAUAAUAAUAAUCAUCAUCACCUUUAAAAAAGUAUUAUUAUUAUUACUGACCCAGCCCCCCCCCCACCUCUUUUUUUUUUUUUAAGCAUAGAUCUAAGAAAUUAUUAAACUAUUUUCUUGUGGUGUAAGAAUAAUCAAUACAUCAUUCAAUAUAGGCCUACUUUGAGUAUUUAUUUAGUUUUAAUGGAUUUAUUAUUAUUAGCAUUUUUUUGCAACAACAACAUUUAUUUUAAAAAGUUACAGGAAACUAUAAAUCUUGUAGCAUAACAAAUAUACAAUACUUAAUUCAAGAUGUAUUCUCUGAAAAGUAUUUAUGUUAUUUUAAUGGAAACAACAAAAUGUAUUCUCUGAAAAGUAUUUAUGUUAUUUUAAUGGAAACAACAAAAUACUGAUUUGAAGAAGUUUUUUUGUUUGUUUGUUUGUUUGUUUGUUUGUUUGUUUGUUUGUUUUUUGCAGUGAUACAACAACAUGUUUAAAUAACAUGACAUUUAUUUCCAGACUGUAAACAACUCAGAAACCCGAGCAACCAGUAGAAACAUAACAAUUAAUAUGAAACACAUCUGUUUGUAAUAUAUAAUCUAAUGUGACAGUUUCUGCGGAGAGGAUCACAGGUACGGUGGAGGAUAGAGCGCAUGUAAACACAUUCCAGCAUGCGUGCGCUCAUCGCUCCAGCUGUAAGCUAGCGGGCGGCUCUGUGCCCAGAAAGCUCACAUUGAUCUGUGCUGGGAAUUCCAUGCUUAUAUAUGCAGCUCCAAAGCCAGCGGUCCAUGCCAAUCAUUCUGACUGGAUGUCCUGCUCCAACGCCUGCUCACAGCGUGUCAAAACCUCUGUCACAAAGACUCUGAUUGAUGAAGCUCCCUUAAAUAUCUUUGUGUGUGUAUCCAGAUCUCUCUGAAAUCAUAGCUAGACUGCUGAUCUCAUGAUGAGGGCCUGCAGAAAAACAUCAGUUACCAGGAACAGGCGUCAGUUUUCUACUUUUCAUGCUUCCUCAUUUCAUAAAUGUCAAAGGUAAAUAUCAAAUGUCAUAAUAUUGUCUUGAAAUGCUAUGAAAAUUAAAAUGUACACCUGCACUGAACAAAAGAUUAGCAUGUUUCCUCCAAAAGACAAUGCUUUUCAAUUAUCA